rnacentral:lncRNA from 1 species
ACACUCCCGCGAACCUCAUCCUUACAGCGGGAUUACCAGUCCAGGCUAAAUCCCCUGUAAUAUAAACUCAUAGAGUAUUGUCAGGAUUACCAGUCCAGGCUAAAUCCCCUGCAACGACAAUUACUCUAAUGAGCUUGGAUCUGAAUUACCAGUCCAGGCUAAAUUCAGACCCUAAUUUGGAUUACUCGUCUGGGCUAAAUCCAUUUACACGUAUUCUUCGAGAGGGCUAUAUCAGGAUAGGAUCACUCGUCCGGGCUAGAUCCUUUUUACCGUCAAUUCAUUUUCAGAGAUCCAUCGAAUUUUCUUUUUAUUCAACCGAGAUUUCUUCCCCUUUUAUCAAAUAUGUUAAUGUUUCAUCAAUUUUCAUACAAUGAAGAUUCAAAUCAUAUUCAUAUCAAAAACAUACAUUUUAAGCAUUUAAGAAUAUAAUUCAAGUUAUACGAACUUACCUAGCGAAAUUGCAGAAAUAUCAAGAUUUAGGGACAUUUUGGUAAUUUACUAUUUUCUCAAUUUUCACCCGAUCAUAAAUUGAAAAUUUCACUCAAUUUAUUAAUUUAGAUAAUAAAACAAUUCGUUCCUUCAAUUUGAUCAUUUUUGACAUUUUUACAAAAUUGCCCCCUGAAGUUUUACUUUUAUUCAAUUUAGUCCUUAAGCCUAAAACAUGCAAAUUAGCCAUGCUAGCUGAAUAUUCAUAUAUAUUUUCCUCCUCCUCUCCAUUCCACAUCCUUAAUGUAUAUAACACACUUGUAAGUAACAUUAUCUAUAAUUUUUAUUAUUUACUUUUAUGAAUAUUCAAGUUGUCCAUCUGUGUCAUAGUCACUAAAUUAUUUAUAUAUGGAGCUCUAGAACUCUAAAUUAAGAUCUGCUAAUUUUUCCUGAAACUAGACUCAUAUAUAUUCUUACCAUAAAAUUUUCAGAAUUUUUGGUUUAUUCAAUAAAUACAGUUUAUUCUUUAAAGUUACUCAUGUUCUGCUGUCUAACAGUUGUGACCCUUCUUCACUAAAAAUUAAUUAUCUCCUCGUACAGAAUUCUAAUGAUGUUCCUGUUUAUUUCUAUUAAAAAUAGACUCAUUCAAGAUUCUAAACAUAUAAAUUUAAGCCCAUAAUUAUUUUUAUAUAAUUUUGAUAAUUUUUCGAAGUCAGAAUAGGGGAAACCGAAAUUAUUCUGAUCUUAUCUCACAAAAUUUAUUAUAUCUCAUGAUUUAUAAUUUCAUUGUUUACACCGUUUCUUUUAUAAGAAACUAGACUCAAUAAUAUUUAAUUUCAUAUUUUAUUCAUCCUAUAAUUCUAUUUCUACAAUUUUUGGUGAAUUUUCAAAGUUAGACUACUGCUGCUGUUCAAAACUGUUUUAGUGUAAAAUGUUAAUUUUCAUUUUGUCUCAAAUUUCACAGUCAUACAAUUCAGUCCUUAUUUCAGUUCUAACUUGAAAAUUCUAUCAAUUUAAUCCCUAAUUCAAUCAUUUCAUUCAAGAUAAACAGUAUCUAGAAAUCUAAUAACUUUCAAAAUAUCAACUUGACUUUAUCAAAACGUUAUUCCAAAACUUCUAAAACAUCAAAAUUAAAAAAAAUGACUUAAUUGACUUACCUAUUAAACUUCCAAGCUUCACACCUUGAAUUUUCCCUUUUCUUCUUUCUUUUCUCUUUUUCUUUCUUUCCUUCCCCUGCUCUCUGUUUCGUUUGCUUUUUCUUCAUUUUCUAUUCUUUUUCUUUCUUUAUUUCCU